CCACCCCGUAGGCCCCGCCCCUGCGUCUCUGCCCGCCCCGUGGCGCCCGAGUGCACUGAAGAUGGCGGCUGCUGUAGGACGGUUGCUCCGAGCGUCGGUUGCCCGACAUGUGAGUGCCAUUCCUUGGGGCAUUUCUGCCACUGCAGCCCUCAGGCCUGCUGCAUGUGGAAGAACGAGCUUGACAAAUUUAUUGUGUUCUGGUUCCAGUCAAGCAAAAUUAUUCAGCACCAGUUCCUCAUGCCAUGCACCUGCUGUCACCCAGCAUGCACCCUAUUUUAAGGGUACAGCCGUUGUCAAUGGAGAGUUCAAAGACCUAAGCCUUGAUGACUUUAAGGGGAAAUAUUUGGUGCUUUUCUUCUAUCCUUUGGAUUUCACCUUUGUGUGUCCUACAGAAAUUGUUGCUUUUAGUGACAAAGCUAACGAAUUUCACGACGUGAACUGUGAAGUUGUUGCAGUCUCAGUGGAUUCCCACUUUAGCCAUCUUGCCUGGAUAAAUACACCAAGAAAGAAUGGUGGUUUGGGCCACAUGAACAUCGCACUCUUGUCAGACUUAACUAAGCAGAUUUCCCGAGACUACGGUGUGCUGUUAGAAGGUUCUGGUCUUGCACUAAGGAGAAUUAAAGACCUAAAAGGGAAGAAGUUAGACUGUUCUACUUCUGGUACUGUUGAGGCACUGAUGAGGAUAAAUGAUCAUGCAGAGGUCUCUUCAUAAUUGACCCCAAUGGAGUCAUCAAGCACUUAAGCGUCAACGAUCUCCCAGUGGGCCGAAGCGUGGAAGAAACCCUCCGCUUGGUGAAGGCGUUCCAGUAUGUAGAAACACAUGGGGAAGUCUGCCCAGCGAACUGGACACCGGAUUCUCCUACGAUCAAGCCAAGUCCAGCUGCUUCCAAAGAGUACUUUCAGAAGGUAAAUCAGUAGAUCACCCAUGUGUAUCUGCACCUUCUCAACCGAGAGAAGAACCACAGUUGAAACCUGCUUUUAUCAUUUUCAAGAUGGUUAUUUGUAGAAGGCAAGGAACCAAUUAUGCUUGUAUUCAUAAGUAUUACUCUAAAUGUUUUGUUUUUGUAAUUCUGGCUAAGACCUUUUAAACAUGGUUAGUUGCUAGUACAAGGAAUCCUUUAUUGGUAACAUCUUGGUGGCUGGCUAGCUAGUUUCUACAGAACAUAAUUUGCCUCUAUAGAAGGCUAUUCUUAGAUCAUGUCUGAAUGGAAACACUCUUCUUUCUUAGCCUUACUUGAAUCUUGCCUAUAAUAAAGUAGAGCAACACACAUUGAAAGCUUCUGAUCAACGGUCCUGAAAUUUUCAUCUUGAAUGUCUUUGUAUUAAACUGAAUUUUCUUUUAAGCUAACAAAGAUCAUAAUUUUCAAUGAUUAGCCGUCUAACUCCUGCAAUGAAUGUUUAUGUGAUUGAAGCAAAUGUGAAUCGUAUUAUUUUAAAAAGUGGCAGAGUGACUUAACUGAUCAUGCAUGAUCCCUCAUCCCUGAAAUUGAGUUUAUGUAGUCAUUUUACUUAUUUUAUUCAUUAGCUAACUUUGUCUAUGUAUAUUUCUAGAUAUUGAUUAGUGUAAUCGAUUAUAAAGGAUAUUUAUCAAAUCCAGGGAUUGCAUUUUGAAAUUAUAAUUAUUUUCUUUGCUGAAGUAUUCAUUGUAAAACAUACAAAAUAAACAUAUUUUAAAACA